AAACGCGAUCCGGAAUGGUGCAGCGUCCCCGUGGGUGUGCGAGGGCCCGGCGCAGCCCCACGUUACUGCCUGCCUGGGUGCAUUUCUGCCCCCUGCUUACCGAGAGGUCUCUGGUAUUCCCCUGGAAAUAGAGUGAUUUGGGAUCUUCGCUGGUCCUGUUCUGAAGCCGAGUUAUUAAAAAGUGUUAAACGUUUGGGAAUAACUUUCCUUCAAGUUAUGUGAAAACACGUAGAAUUAGGGUCUAGAAGCCCCUGAUUAAGCUUGUAUUCAUCGGGGAUGUGAAUGAGACAUCUGAAGAUGGUAUAACUGCGUCUAUUUUGUGCUGUCCCACAGGUAAAGGUUAGGUUGAUAAGCUGUAAUUAGACUUUAUCUGAAUAGCUUAGAGGAUAAUUUUUGAAGUAUAUUGCACAAUUUUAUUAUUUAAUUGGGAGUUUAAACUCCAUGUGGGUCCAAGGUCUUGUGGCACAUGCUUUGCAGCUUCUGGUACUGAAUAACAACUUUUUCUUACUUCAUUCUAAUACUAAGUUUAUAAUGAGGAUACUAAACCAGUUUUGAUAAUUGAAAAAUAUGCUGCAAACCUUGCAGAAUAUAUUGUAUGAGACUUCAAAUACAAUUUAUUUAAAGCAUGUCAUGCUAAAAACACCAGUCCCUGUGAAAUUUCUGUUGACAGCACUUCUUUCUGUAAAGAUGAAGGAGGCAGAAUAGAAAACUGUUUCAAGAAACUGACAGAAACUUUUACAUCAGCUUUUGUACUUGGAUUCUGUAUCCCCUCUGUCAAACUUCAGCAAAAUUUACUAGAAUUUUUUUUAAGUAUAAAAAGAGCCCCAAAUUUUGGUUUAAUGUCUAAUUUCAUGUGGUUCUCCAAGACAAAUUGUUGUUGAUAAAUAGUGCUGAAUUUUGCCUCUGUGUGAGAUUUUUAGGUUAGUUUUUGUGAUGCUCAAAAAGAUGCUUUUACCUCUGUUGGGCAUACAAAAAAUGUAAAUUUUUAGGGCCUUGAGGUUUGGUAUACACUGUUUUUCAUACCUGGAAACUACAGUUAAUUUCAGAAAAUCUGUUAAAAACUUCUUGGUAUUGUGUACUGUACAUUGUUAUAUUUAGCAAUCUCCAAAAUGGACUUUCUCCUCUAUUGUCCUUGUUUCUCUUUUUGACUAAGUGCUUUGCUACCGUCCUCUCUACCUUAGAAAUUCCUUACACUUGUGUUACAUAACAUUGAUCUACAAUUUCUUUGUGUACUGUGCAAACUUAUUAAUAGUUUUGGGUCAUCAUGCUGCUGUGAAAAUUGACCCCAAAGUAUCUCUCUUGCUACACUUUACUAAUUUCUUGGUCAAAAUUAGUCUGUAUAGGCUAAGCUCAAUUUGAAUAGCAUUUACAGAUGCUGGAUAGAGAUGGCUGUUCAUACAUGCUUUGAUACUUUUAAAAGCAUUAUUAGUAUUUCUGUACAAACAGAGUUAAAUGUUUGGCUUAAGUAUCAGUUCAGUCAUUGGAGCACAUCCUGCUGAUAUCUUGGAUGCUCUAAUUUCAUUCCUAGUAACUUCUAUAGACACCAAAGGAAAACUGCAUUCAUUUAGGCAAAGAUUUCAAGUAUUUUAUGGAUAAUAUCUACUUGAUAACUUGUAUGCUUGUCAGCUUUUUUUUUUUUUUUGCUGUAAAAGUCGUGCCAAGCUUAACAUAUUCCUUACUAGAAAUCUUGUGUAUGGUAAAAGACAAGACAAGCAUACUCAUUCCUGUACAGUGAUUCAUGUGUUAGAGUGGACUAUGUACGUCUGUCUACUCUAUGUGCUUUAUGGUGACUGGUACUUGGAAUUUAUUUGCCUGUUGCCUAGGGAUAUACUUUCUGGAUGACUACAAAGUUCAGAUUUGUUUGUACGAGUUUGUAAUGAAGCAGUUAUAUAGUCCAGGAGAGUAAGAGGAGCCUCCUAAUGAACUCCUGGAGCAUGCUGGGUUUAAAUCAGGGAAAUUAUUAGGAUAAGGAAAAUCUUUAUUUCUUCUCAGUUUGCCAGGCCAGCCACUUCUUGUGCAAAGCACUGACAUCCUAAAGAGGUCAUGGAAGACGUUUCAGAAUCUGUUCAACCCAUUCUCUGAGAGAUAGACUCUAAGUGCUAGACUACUUUCUUAAGCGUGUCUCCAGGUUUUAGGUUAGAUUGUCUGAGCUGAGACAUGAGCCAGUGUGAGUGGACCAGAAGCUAAGGUGUAGGCAGUUUGUUUGUGGUGUAGGCAGUCCUGGCAUCAGCUUUCUGCUCUGCAAAUACUGAUCGGGAACCUUAAAUACUUUCCUCAUAUUUUUAUCCAUCUUGAAACUUUCUGUAUGACUGACAAGAGAGCUGUUCUGUCUUGGGACUUUUGUGUAAUCUUUUUAUCUGCGUGGGAAUCUUCCUCUUAUCAAAGACCUUUGAGUUCAUCUGCACGUUUGGUCCUCACUGUGACAGACUAGAUAUGUCCUACCUGAGCUGUAUUCUUGGUAGAGCAUAACUUUGUAGAGCUAAAGGUAGUGCCUGUGAUUGUAUCUACCUUCACAUUUAUAGCCCAAAAUUUUGAGUUGCAGCCCAGUGCAGGCCUUAAUGCUUCUACAUCUCAUUGGGGGUUCAGAGUGAUGAGCAAAAGGUAGUGUGUUUUCACAGACCUGUUGCAGGGAAUCAGUGAUUUCUGAAUAGUGCCCUAAGUCCUGGAGGAUAGAGCACUUGGCCUGUCAUCUGGGAUGCCUGGUUUCAAGCCUGUGGCUGAUGUCUCUCAAGGGAGACCAAGCCUGAAGAUGGGCCAAGCUCUCUCGGAUCCUCUGGCUGAACCUGCCACUGUAUAUAGAGAGGAUUAACUCCCCAGUGCCAGGUUAGUCAUUCUCCCUGCUAUGUCUGAAGUACUGUGGCAAGGGCAUUCCUUUGGGAUGAGGUGUGUGCUCAGUUCUGGUCUGUUUCCUGGGGUGGUUUUUGGUUUUGCCCAGCAGCUCUUUUCUGUAUAAACUGGUUUGUAAAGUGAGAUUGGAGCAAGACUUCUCUCUUCUGUUCCACGCAUCGGUGCAGUUUCAGUGGUGAGAAGAGAGUUGCUGUCUCAGCCUUGCUGAUAUGAAGGCAUUCCUGUUAGAGUUGUGAUAUGGGGUUGAGCUCUUUUAUGUGGAGCAGGGCACUUGGUAUAUUUCUU